GAUGAACGCUGGCGGCGUGCCUAAUACAUGCAAGUCGAGCGAACAGACGAGGAGCUUGCUCCUCUGACGUUAGCGGCGGACGGGUGAGUAACACGUGGAUAACCUACCUAUAAGACUGGGAUAACUUCGGGAAACCGGAGCUAAUACCGGAUAAUCUAUUGAACCGCAUGGUUCAAUAGUGAAAGACGGUUUUGCUGUCACUUAUAGAUGGAUCCGCGCCGCAUUAGCUAGUUGGUAAGGUAACGGCUUACCAAGGCAACGAUGCGUAGCCGACCUGAGAGGGUGAUCGGACACACUGGAGCUGAGACACGGUCCAGACUCCUACGGGAGGCAGCAGUAGGGAAUCUUCCGCAAUGGGCGAAAGCCUGACGGAGCAACGCCGCGUGAGUGAUGAAGGUCUUCGGAUCGUAAAACUCUGUUAUUAGGGAAGAACAAAUGUGUAAGUAACUAUGCACGUCUUGACGGUACCUAAUCAGAAAGCCACGGCUAACUACGUG
rnacentral:rRNA from 1 species